UGGUUUGGCACCUCGAUGUCGGCUCGUCGCAUCCUGGGGCUGGAGUCGGUCCCAAGGGUUGGGCUGUUCGCCCAUUAAAGCGGUACGCGAGCUGGGUUUAGAACGUCGUGAGACAGUUCGGUCCCUAUCCGCUGUGCGCGUAGGAGUCUUGAGAAGGGCUGUCCCUAGUACGAGAGGACCGGGACGGACGAACCUCUGGUGUGCCAGUUGUUCUGCCAAGGGCAUGGCUGGUUGGCUACGUUCGGGAGGGAUAACCGCUGAAAGCAUCUAAGCGGGAAGCCUGCUUCGAGAUGAGGGCUCCCACCCACUUGAUGGGGUAAGGCUCCCAGUAGACGACUGGGUUGAUAGGCCGGAUAUGGAAGCACGGUAACGUGUGGAGUUGACCGGUACUAAUAGGCCGAGGGCUUGUCCUCAGUUG
rnacentral:rRNA from 1 species